rnacentral:rRNA from 1 species
UACGAAGGGUGCAAGCGUUGCUCGGAAUUAUUGGGCGUAAAGGGUAGGUAGGUGGUGACAUUUGUCUGGGGUGAAAUCCCUGAGCUUAACUCAGGAAGUGCCUUGGAAACGGUGUCAUUAGAGUACUGGAGAGGUUCGCAGAAUUCUUGGUGUAGCGGUGAAAUGCGUAGAGAUCAAGAGGAAUACCAGAGGCGAAGGCGGCGAACUGGACAGUAACUGACACUCAACUACGAAAGCGUGGGGAGCAAACAGG